rnacentral:rRNA from 1 species
CCUACGGGAGGCAGCAGUGGGGAAUUUUGGACAAUGGGGGAAACCCUGAUCCAGCCAUGCCGCGUGAGUGAAGAAGGCCUUCGGGUUGUAAAGCUCUUUCGGCUGGGAAGAAAUCGCACAGGCUAAUACUCUGUGUGGAUGACGGUACCAGCACAAGAAGCACCGGCUAACUACGUGCCAGCAGCCGCGGUAAUACGUAGGGUGCGAGCGUUAAUCGGAAUUACUGGGCGUAAAGCGUGCGCAGGCGGUUGUGCAAGACAGAUGUGAAAUCCCCGGGCUCAACCUGGGAACUGCAUUUGUGACUGCACGACUAGAGUACGGCAGAGGGGGGUAGAAUUCCACGUGUAGCAGUGAAAUGCGUAGAGAUGUGGAGGAAUACCGAUGGCGAAGGCAGCCCCCUGGGUCGAUACUGACGCUCAUGCCCGAAAGCGUGGGGAGCAAACAGGAUUAGAUACCCUGGUAGUCCACGCCCUAAACGAUGUCAACUAGUUGUUGGUAGGGUUAAACCUAUUAGUAACGUAGCUAACGCGUGAAGUUGACCGCCUGGGGAGUACGGUCGCAAGAUUAAAACUCAAAGGAAUUGACGG